rnacentral:ncRNA from 2 species
AUUAAGAUUGGUGAUGGAGCUCACCAUUAAAUGCGAUGAUGCUGAUGGCUCCUAUUGGGUA